UACAGAGGUCUCAAGCGUUGUUCGGAUUCAUUGGGCGUAAAGGGUGCGUAGGUGGCGCCAUAAGUCAGGUGUGAAAUCUCGGGGCUCAACCCCGAAACUGCAUUUGAUACUGUGGUGCUCGAGUACUGGAGAGGAGAUUGGAAUUUACGGUGUAGCAGUGAAAUGCGUAGAUAUCGUAAGGAAGACCAGUGGCGAAGGCGAAUCUCUGGACAGUUACUGACACUGAGGCACGAAGGCCAGGGGAGCAAACGGGG
rnacentral:rRNA from 1 species